rnacentral:rRNA from 1 species
AUACGUAGGGUGCAAGCGUUAAUCGGAAUUACUGGGCGUAAAGCGUGCGCAGGCGGUUUUGUAAGUCAGGGGUGGAAUCCCCGGGCUCAACCUCGGGACUGCCUUUGUUACUGGCAGGCUAGAGGAAGGCAGAGGGGGAUGGAAUUCCGCGUGUAGCGGGGAAAUGCGGAGAUAUGCGGAGGAACAGCGGUGGCGAAGGCAAUCCCCUGGGAUUGUACUGACGCUCAUGCACGGAAGCGUGGGGAGCAAACAGGAGUAGAUACCCUGGUAGUCCACGCCCUAAACGAUGUCAACUGGUUGUUGGGUCUUCAUUGACUCAGUAACGAAGCUAACGCGUGAAGUUGACCGCCUGGGGAGUACGGCCGCAAGGUUGAAACUCAAAGGAAUUGACGGGG